GAUCCUGGCUCAGGAUGAACGCUAGCUACAGGCUUAACACAUGCAAGUCGAGGGGCAGCAUGAACUUAGCUUGCUAAGUUUGAUGGCGACCGGCGCACGGUGAGUAACACGUAUCCAACCUUCCGUUUACUCAGGGAUGGCCUUUCGAAAGAAAGAUUAAUACCUGAUAGUAUGGUGAGAUUGCAUGAUAACACCAUUAAAGAUUUAUUGGUAAACCGAUGGGGAUGCGUUCCAUUAGG
rnacentral:rRNA from 1 species